GACGAACGCUGGCGGCGUGCUUAACACAUGCAAGUCGAACGGAAAGGCCCUGCUUUUGUGGGGUGCUCGAGUGGCGAACGGGUGAGUAACACGUGAGUAACCUGCCCUUGACUUUGGGAUAACUUCAGGAAACUGGGGCUAAUACCGGAUAGGAUCUCCUGCUGCAUGGUGGGGGUUGGAAAGUUUCGGCGGUUGGGGAUGGACUCGCGGCUUAUCAGCUUGUUGGUGGGGUAGUGGCUUACCAAGGCUUUGACGGGUAGCCGGCCUGUGAGGGUGACCGGCCACAUUGGGACUGAGAUACGGCCCAGACUCCUACGGGAGGCAGCAGUGGGGAAUAUUGCACAAUGGGCGGAAGCCUGAUGCAGCAACGCCGCGUGCGGGAUGACGGCCUUCGGGUUGUAAACCGCUUUCGCCUGUGACGAAGCGUGAGUGACGGUAAUGGGUAAAGAAGCACCGGCUAACUACGUG
rnacentral:rRNA from 1 species